rnacentral:tmRNA from 1 species
GGGGCUGAUUCUGGAUUCGACGGGAUUUGCGAAACCCAAGGUGCAUGCCGAGGGGCGGUUGGCCUCGUAAAAAGCCGCAAAAAAUAGUCGUUAGGACGGGGAUCAAGAGAGGUCAAACCCAAAAGAGAUCGCGUGGAAGCCCUGCCUGGGGUUGAAGCGUUAAAACUUAAUCAGGCUAGUUUGUUAGUGGCGUGUCCGUCCGCAGCUGGCAAGCGAAUGUAAAGACUGACUAAGCAUGUAGUACCGAGGAUGUAGGAAUUUCGGACGCGGGUUCAACUCCCGCCAGCUCCACCA